GCUUCUCAACAGCUUUUACCCCCAAGCCAUAAGACUCCUGAACAGGUAAUCAAAUGGCUACCCGGACUAUUAGGUGACAAAUAAACUUUGAUUUUACCUUAUUUCUUGUCAAUCAAGAGGAUGGGAGAAACUCCCCAAAUACAGGUGUGCCAAGCUUGUAGCGUCAUACCCAAGAAGACUAGAGGCUGUAAUUGCUGCCAAAGUGGAGAGGCGGAGAAGAGACAAGAUCAACAACCGGAUCAUCACUUUCUCAAAGAUCAUCCUAGACUGCAACAUGGACAGUACUAAGACUGGAGCAAAGAAAGGAGGGAUCUUGUCGAAAGUGUGUGACUACUUCUGGGAGCUGAGACAGAAUAACCAGCGACUGCAGGACCACUUCAAAGAGAUGUUGAGAGUUCAGGCGGACAACCGGCUACUCAAACAACAGGUGCACACGUAUACAGUGCAUUCGGAAAGUAUUCAGACCCCUUCCCUUUUCCACAUUUUGUUACGUUACAACCUUAUUCUAAAAUGGAUUAAAUAAAAAAUUGCCCUCUUCAAUUUACACACAAUGCCCCAUAAUGCCCCACAAUGCCCCAUUUAUUUUGUG